UAAUGUAUGGGGAUCUGCCCGAUAGAGGGGGAUAACUACUGGAAACGGUGGCUAAUACCGCAUAAUGUCUACGGACCAAAGCAGGGGCUCUUCGGACCUUGCACUAUCGGAUGAACCCAUAUGGGAUUAGCUAGUAGGUGGGGUAAAGGCUCACCUAGGCGACGAUCUCUAGCUGGUCUGAGAGGAUGAUCAGCCACGCUGGGACUGAGACACGGCCCAG
rnacentral:rRNA from 1 species